rnacentral:RNase_P_RNA from 1 species
GCUGCGGAUGCAGUGCCGAAAGACCGCACCCGAGGAAAGUCCGGGCUCCACAGGGCAAGGAUAACGGCUAACGGCCGCCGGGGGUGACCCCAGGGAAAGUGCAACAGAGAUAUACCGCCUGUAGAGCUCACCGGCACACAGGAGACUGUGUGGCCCUGUAAACCCUAUCCGGAGCAACACCGCACAAAGGCAUAACAUCUGCCCGAUGGCCUUGAUCAGGUGGCACUGAGCAGCGGCGGCAACGCCCUGCCAAGAUAGAUGGCUGUUCACGACAGAACCCGGCUUAUCGUCUCAGU